UAGCCGUAAACGAUACUCGCUAGGUGUCGGCCACGGUGCGACCGUUGUCGGUGCCGUAGGGAAGCCGUGAAGCGAGCCACCUGGGAAGUACGGCCGCAAGGCUGAAACUUAAAGGAAUUGGCGGGGGGAGCACCACAACGGGUGGAGCUUGCGGUUUAAUUGGAUUCAACGCCGGAAAUCUUACCGGGACCGACGGUUGCAUGAAGGCCAGGCUGAUGACCUUGCCUGAUUUUCCGAGAGGAGGUGCAUGGCGUAGUCGUGU
rnacentral:rRNA from 1 species